AUAAUAAUAAUCAUCAUAAUAAUAAUAAUAGAAAAAAGAAAAACAAAUUUUAUUUGGGAUCAAGUCCAGUUCCGUUUAAACUAUAUAUUGCUGUGAAUUAUAAAAGCAAUAGAUCCCCUUUUUGCGUACCAACAAAUGUAAACACUAAAUUUUCCAUGUACCAGUUCUACUAUGCACCUAUGUGAAAGUAUUAACCUUAGCUGAUUCGCCUUCAAUUUUAAACCAUUAAUGAAAUUUCAUCCAGGUCAAAAAGGUGCUAAUAUGAGUGCCACAUAUUCAUAAUCAAACCCGGGGCAGUAUACGAUUACAAAAAAAAUAGCAAUAAACAAAACAAUCCACCUAGUGAACUAUGAUCUGGACACUCCUUUACAUCUAAUGAGGUAAAACAGAUACUACCUAAAGCUAGUAUUACUUCUAAUCCUUUCCUCUAUUACCAUAUGAAACAAAAACCACGAAUUUCAUUAGGUUGAUAAAGACGCAUUUUUAAUGACUAGCUUACCAUUUGAUCUAAAGACUCUAUAAACUAUGUUCUAAUCAUACAAAGCUCGAUUUAAUCACCCCCCCUAAAGAUAAACUAAAGGUAAACUAAAGAUAUAUUUUCAAUUUUUUUUUUCAAAACUCAACUAACACUCGCAUUCUCUUGAUAUGUUUCGGAAACUUUGAUUCAAUAUGUGUCCCUAAAGAUAAACUAAAGGUAAACUAAAGAUAUAUUUUCAAUUUUUUUUUUCAAAACUCAACUAACACUCGCAUUCUCUUGAUAUGUUUCGGAAACUUUGAUUCAAUAUGUGUCCUUGAAGGGUCAGGA
rnacentral:lncRNA from 1 species